rnacentral:tRNA from 1 species
GGGCGAUUAGCUCAGCUGGUUAGAGCGCCUGCCUUACAAGCAGGAGGUCCACGGUUCGAGUCCGUGAUCGCCCACCA